rnacentral:lncRNA from 1 species
AAGAACAAGAAAGAUGGUCCUUCUGGAGGUAUGCUUAUUUUAGAGUCUAAUCUUACGGUUUCUUCUGCAUCCAGUUGGGUGUUUGACUCUGGUUCUAGUGCUCAUUUGUGCACUUCUAUGCAGGAUCUUAAGGAGAGCAGGAGGCUGAGGGAUGGGAAGAUGAUCCUACGUGUCAGAAAUGGAGCAAGAGUUGCUGUUGUGGCCGUAGAAACCUAUCCUCUGCGAUUACCAUUACGAUUAGAUUUAUUUCUUAGAGAUUGUUAUUAUGUGCCUGCAG